rnacentral:rRNA from 1 species
UACGGGGGGGGCAAGCGUUGUUCGGAAUUACUGGGCGUAAAGGGCUCGUAGGCGGCCAACUAAGUCAGACGUGAAAUCCCUCGGCUUAACCGGGGAACUGCAUCUGAUACUGGAUGGCUUGAGUUCGGGAGAGGGAUGCGGAAUUCCAGGUGUAGCGGUGAAAUGCGUAGAUAUCUGGAGGAACACCGGUGGCGAAGGCGGCAUCCUGGACUACUACUGACGCUGAGGAGCGAAAGCCAGGGGAGCAAACGGG